rnacentral:rRNA from 1 species
GACGUAGGGCGCGAGCGUUGUCCGGAUUUAUUGGGCGUAAAGAGCUCGUAGGCGGUUUGUCGCGUCUGCUGUGAAAACUCGGGGCUUAACUCCGGGCCUGCAGUGGGUACGGGCAGACUAGAGUGCGGUAGGGGAGACUGGAAUUCCUGGUGUAGCGGUGAAAUGCGCAGAUAUCAGGAGGAACACCGGUGGCGAAGGCGGGUCUCUGGGCAAUUCCUGACGCUGAGGCGCGAAAGCGUGGGGAGCAAACGGG